AUAAUUCCAAUUACAAAAAGUAAUUAUUAUCUAGAAUAGGGCUACUAUACUCUUUAUAAUCAUAAGUUUUCGGCCAUUGAAUGAAGGGAUGUGCGGUUAGAAUGAUAGGGGUCACUGAUAAAGAUGAUAGUGAUUUCUUAGGAUUAAGUUGGUGGUUGGUUGAAUAAGAUAAUCUAACGGAUGAAAAUGGUCUAGGGAAUAGAUCUAACGGUCGAAAACUUGUGAGUACAAAAAAAAACUAUACUAAUAAGAGUAUAGUAGCCAGACUUUUAUUAUCUAAAAGUAUGUUACACAAUUA
rnacentral:lncRNA from 1 species